UACAGAGGUCUCAAGCGUUGUUCGGAUUCAUUGGGCGUAAAGGGUGUGUAGGUGGCGCGCUAAGUCGGGUGUGAAAUUUCGGAGCUUAACUCCGAAACUGCAUUCGAUACUGGCGUGCUUGAGGACUGGAGAGGAGACUGGAAUUCAUGGUGUAGCAGUGAAAUGCGUAGAGAUCAUGAGGAAGACCAGUGGCGAAGGCGGGUCUCUGGACAGUUCCUGACGCUGAGGCACGAAGGUCAGGGGAGCAAACGGGG
rnacentral:rRNA from 1 species